rnacentral:rRNA from 1 species
GACGAACGCUGGCGGCGUGGAUUAGGCAUGCAAGUCGAACGGUAUCAUCCUUUCGGGGGUGAGAGAGUGGCGAACUGGUGAGUAACACGUAGGUUAUCUACCCUCAAGACGGGGACAACCCAGGGAAACUUGGGCUAAUACCGGAUGUGAGCAACUUUUAGUUGUUUGAAAGGUGGCGUAAGCUGUCGCUUGGGGACGAGCCUGCGUCCUAUUAGUUAGUUGGUGAGGUAACGGCUCACCUAGGCAAUGAUAGGUAGGCGGCCUUAACGGGUGGUCGCCCACACUGGGAUUGAGAUACGGCCCAGACUCCUACGGGAGGCAGCAGUCGAGAAUAGUCUACAAUGGUCGGAAGACUGAUAGUGCGACGCCGCGUGAACGAUGAAUCCCUUCGGGGUGUAAAGUUCUUUUAUAUGUGAGCAGUGCUUCUUAUAUUAACAGUAUGGGGAGAGAGAUAUUAGCAUAUGAAUAAGCAACGGCUAACUCCGUGCCAGCAGCCGCGGUAAACUCGUCU